GCCAACUCUGUGUACUUGAGAUGUUUUCUUUCAUGGGCUGCUGCCAUGCCCUCUUCCCAGGGGAUGGGUCCAGACUCCUUGGCAGCCCUGGGAUACUGCCUUUAUGUGAUAACCUGCUCUAGCCUGGUGACUUCAUCUACCACCAUGGCCUUUUGCCUGUGCUUUUUGGUGGCUUUUGACCAACACCGAUGUGGUGCUCCCAAACCUAAUCCAGCAGGACUGAUCUGGACUGUCCCCAUCCCCUCCUGGUGAUGCAGGGAAAACAGUGGUGGGGUUUAUGUUCAUUUUUGACAGCAAGUAACAAUGGCACCAGAAAGAUA